rnacentral:rRNA from 1 species
UGACAUAGUUAAAUGGCCGCGGUACCCUGACCGUGCUAAGGUAGCAUAAUCAUUUGCCUCUUAAUUGGUGGCUAGUAUGAAUGGACACACGCAAGCAUCGCUGUCUCACUAAUAUAAAUAAAAACUAACCUUUAGGUGAAGAGGCCUAAAUAAAAUAAAAAGACAAAAAGACCCUAUGGAGCUUUAUUUUUCCUCCUUUAACGUACAAUAUAUUAAAAUACCUUCCAGGACUAACAAAUUUAGUUGGGGCGACUUAGGAAAACAAUAAAUCUUCCUAGUUUAACAAGAAAAUAAUUCAUCCAACGAUCCGCCAUGCGAAUACAGAUCCAGCUACCCUAGGGAUAACAGGCUAAUUCUUCUCGAGAGCCCGAAUUGACAGAAGAGAUUG